GGGGCUGAGUUGGUUUCGACAUUUAAAAUUUAAGAAAGUAUGAUGCAGGUCGAAGUUUGUAUUCUUCGUAAAAAUCUACAAUUUUAACAAUAACUGCUAAUAAUAUAAUUCCGUUUAACUUCAAAAAUACGCAAAACUACUCAAAUACAUUAAGUUUUGCUAUUUAGUACGUAAAAAAACAUUCUAUUAGAUAAAUUUGUUCGCUAAUCUCUAGACGGUUUUAUCGUCUAUAGUUUAGAAUAAUUUUUGAAAUUGUUCCUUAACUGUGAACUAAACCUGUGAAAGAGUAUUUUAGUAAAACUUAAAUGGACGUGGGUUCAAUUCCCAUCAGCUCCA
rnacentral:tmRNA from 1 species